UGGUGGAGUGAUUUGUCUGGUUAAUUCCGUUAACGAACGAGACUUUGACCUGCUAAAUAGACAUUACAGCCACGGCUGUAGCUGCGCUUCUUAGAGGGACUUUGCGUGUCUAACGCAAGGAAGUUCAAAGCAAUAACA
rnacentral:rRNA from 1 species